GAAGAACAUUAUAUUAUAAGCUGAAAUAUUAAAUAGAAUUCCAGCUUGUGAACACCAGGCAAAACAAUUAUAUGUAGUUAUCAAUACACUUUAACUGGCUCAAUGACUGUACAUUCAAUCAUUUGUGGGGUUGUGUGUGAUCUUCACACUAUGUAGGUUUUCUGGGGACUUUUUGGACCGCGUUUUUUUCUUCUGGGAUUAGAACUGAUAGCACAGGAGAAGGCGUUGAGAAGCUCGGAGUCUUCUUGGGAAAUGAGAAUCUUAGCAGAACUUGGAUUGGCAAGGAGGAGUUUGGCGACGAGGUAUCCAGCUAUAGACCAAGUUUGGAAAAGGCGCGCUUGUUUCCCUAUGAACCGUGCCUUUUUAGUGUCGUAAUAUUCUGGCCACUUGUCUUGUGAGAUGCGCUUUUCUGCAACUUCAACAGCUUUUGCAGCAAUCUCAGGUCUAUUCAUCUUAAUACUAGCAACAGCCAGCUGCCAGAGUAAAGUUGGCCAGGAACCUCCAUUAUGGUAGGACCAAGGAGUAUUCUUGGGAUCACAUCCUGUAAUUAUCUUCCACUCCUGACCCUCAAGAGCAGGGUAGCAUAUUUUAAAAGGCAUAUCAGCUACCAGAUCUGUCCACUUGGCCUCAAUGAGAUCCAAUAUAGCAUGUGAUUGAUCAUCUGUUGUCAGACUGCAGACUAUAGACCACAAGUUUCCUAGAGAAAAGAAUCGAAAAUCCAUGUGAGCAGGUUGCAAAUUUCCAAUCAAGUAUCCUCCUUUACUUGGCAUCCA
rnacentral:misc_RNA from 1 species